rnacentral:rRNA from 1 species
GAUGAACGCUGGCGGCAGGCUUAACACAUGCAAGUCGAGCGGGGUGAUGGUGCUUGCACUAUCACUUAGCGGCGGACGGGUGAGUAAUGCUUAGGAAUCUGCCUAUUAGUGGGGGACAACAUCUCGAAAGGGAUGCUAAUACCGCAUACGUCCUACGGGAGAAAGCAGGGGAUCACUUGUGACCUUGCGCUAAUAGAUGAGCCUAAGUCGGAUUAGCUAGUUGGUGGGGUAAAGGCCUACCAAGGCGACGAUCUGUAGCGGGUCUGAGAGGAUGAUCCGCCACCCUGGGACUAAGACACGGCCCGGACUCCUACGGGAGGCAGCAGUGGGGAAUAUUGGACAAUGGGGAGAACCCGGAUCCAGCCAUGACGCGUGUGUGAAGAAGGCCUUAUGGUUGUAAAGCACUUUAAGCGAGGAGGAGGCUCUUUUGGUUAAGACCCAAGAUGAGUGGACGUUACUCGCAGAAUAAGCACCGGCUAACUCUGUGCCAGCAGCCGCAGUAA